CGCACGAAUGAGCUGGCGCAAACGCUGGGGUAUAAAAAAGCGCGCCCGUCUAUUGUGGAGCCAUCACUUCGUUGCAUCUACCGAGGCGCUCUUGUCUCCAUUCAACCUCCGGCCAAGAUGCUGUCCCUCGUCCUCGUCCUUCUGGGCGUGAGCGCCAGCUUCGCCGGUCGCUACGGUGCAGGCGCUGGCCUGGGCACCGGCCUGGGUUACGGCGGAUACGGUGGCGGCUUAAGUGCGGGCUACAACCAGCAGUCUAGCGCCUGACAGGGCGGCUUAAGUUUGGGCCAGGAGGCUAGAACCUUGUGGCUCGACUUAGGCGCGGGCUACACCCAGCAGGGUAGCGCCUUGCAGGAGGUCUAUAAUGACGGCGAAUCUGGACCCAACGAGGGAAGCGGAGACUAUGACUGGGGCAACGCCUACUGGAAUGGCCAGGGCCUUAUCAACCAGGAUGGACACUGAUCUGGGUUCCGGCAGGGCAGCACUGGCUUCAACAGGGGUGCGUCCGGUGCUAAGGGAUGAUUUGGAAGCCAGAGAUACCUCAGUCAAUACGGCGGCAUUGGUGGUUACUAAGCUGCUCUAACGCCAUGCUUUCCUAUAUCGCCCGCCUCCACACGUCAGAUGAACUAGUCUCGAGCGGCAAAGACAUCGCGCUGCACGACGACGGAAGCUCACGUAUACCAGCAAAACCUUAAAUCCUACAGGAUCGGCGACAGCGGUAGAUGUUAACUGUGCAGACGGAUUGAAAAAAUAAAAGAUUUCAUUCACAGUUAUCAAA